UAUAUACAUAUAUAUAUUGGUGCUGGUGCUGUCAGAGCUCCGUGCUGUCGGACCAAAAGUCAGGGUUAGGGUUAGACCUCUGACCUCUCUCCUCUCCUCUCCUCUGACCUCUCACCUCUGACCCCCUGCUGCAGCGAGGCGGACCGCACCAUCCUGACUUCCUGUCAGCAGAGAGGAGCAACCCGGAGGACGUUCAGACAGAUCUCUGCCCAGCUGGGAAACAAAACCGCCCAGCAGGUGAGCCUUCGUUUCCACGACCUGAUGAAUCUUUUUCACGCCGCCAACAAGUCUUCAGAGCCGGGACGUCAAUAAUACCAGAGGACUCAUUUGUUUUAUAUAUAUAUAUAUAAAAUCCUUUGCACAUUUUAUAGAAUAUAGAUACAAAUCUGGAGAUCUGCUGCUUUUCUGUUUUAUAUUCAAGUGAAGAACUUUGGACAUUUAAAAACUUGGACUUUGAGGAAUUAAUUUGGAUAUUCUUCACUAUUUUCUGACUCUUUUUUUUUUUUUAUACACGAAACAUUCGUGAGGAAAAUAUAACGUUGAAAAUCCCAAUAAUGAUAUUACAUUUGAUAAAUAAACAGAUAUUAAAGUUCUGCUCAAAUACAACACAUUGCUUCUUGAAUGAAAAUAAAUUAUAGUUAAUUAUUUUAAACUUCAUUUUAUUUAACAAACUAAACUCAAAAAGCAUCAAAACUAAAUAUCCCAACACAACGACGAUAAAAACAGAUUUAUUGUGCAGCCCUACAAACAAUAAUCCAUGAAUCCACAAGAUGGGUAAUGAAGUGAUCGUUAUUGUUUAUAUCACGUGUGUUCAGUUCUAUUAUUAAACGUUCUCAGAAUGUGCUGCAGGAUCUCUGUGACUUUAGAUCCUGACUGAACCUCUGUAUUUAUAUUUAAUGAUUAUUUAUUUCUAAUGUAUGCCCUCUGACCUCAGCGAGACUCCGCCCAUUGUUUUUAAAAAAGAAAUGUUUUUAGUUUUUAUUAAUUUACACCAUUUUGUCUGAUAAAACACCAAAUUCAAAGUUUACAGCGCUCCAGAUCUUCACUGCUGCACAUUUUUAUGUUUCUGGACAGAUUUACUCUUUUUAUUUUAUUUCUUAGGGCUGAUGGAACUUCUUCCAUAAAUGAAGAAAAACAAAUAUGUUUGAACGUUUUGUAUUCAAACUUAAAAAUGAACUUAUUCUUUCUGAAACUGUUUCUGAAUAUUACCCAUGAUGCCUUUUGGUGAAGGAUGUACCAACGGUCUGUGAAGGUUUGUAUUAACUUUUUAUUCAUAUUGAAUAUGAAUGAAAGUCGACUGCUUGAAUAAAAUAUUUUUACAUUUC